rnacentral:rRNA from 1 species
AUUGAACGCUGGCGGCAGGCCUAACACAUGCAAGUCGAGCGGAUGAAGGGAGCUUGCGCCUGGAUUCAGCGGCGGACGGGUGAGUAAUGCCUAGGAAUCUGCCUGGCAGUGGGUGAUAACGUCUGGAAACGGGCGCUAAUACCACAUACUUCCUGAGGGAGAAAGUUGGGGAUCUUCGGACCUCACGCUAUCAGAUGAGCCUAGGUCGGAUUAGCUAGUUGGUGGGGUAAAUGCCUACCAAGGCGACCAUCCGUAACUGGUCUGAGAGGAUGAUCAGUCACACUGGAGCUGAGACACGGUCCAGACUCCUACGGGAGGCAGCAGUGGGGAAUAUUGGACAAUGGGCGAAAGCAUGAUACAGCCAUGCCGCGUGUGUGACGAAGGUCUUCGGAUUGUAAAGCACUUUAAGUUGGGAGGAAGGGCAGUAAGUUAAUACCUUGCUGUUUUGACGUUACCAACAGAAUAAGCACCGGCUAACUUCGUG